rnacentral:snRNA from 1 species
AUGCUUGCUUAGCAGGGGAGAUGCUGUGAUCACAGAGGUGGCUUUUCCAGGGAGAAGCUCGUCAUCCAUUGCACCCAGAUGUGUUGACCCCUGCAUUUUCCCCAGAUGCAGGAAACUCGUUUGCAUAAUCUGUGAUUAGUGGUGCUUUCACCUA